rnacentral:snRNA from 1 species
GUGCUUGCUUUGGCAGCGCAUAGACUAAAAUUGGAAUGAUACAGGGAAGGUUAGCAUGGCCCCUGUGCAGGGAUGGUACACAAAUUUGAGAAACAUUAUUUUU